UUCACUUCAUUUUUAAAACACCCAAGGUGAAUAGGGUAAACAUUUUAACUAAUUGAUAUCUUCAUGAAACUUCCCCAUUUCAUUACUUACAUUGAGACAAUUCUUUUUUGUACUACAAGUUUUCUAAAAUGGUAUGUUUAAAUAAUCAAAUGAUGCAUUAUCUUAUGAAAUAUGCACUAAUUUGCAUACAUUUCCAGAGCAGAAAUCUGAAGAUUGGAUACAGCCGGGUUCAAAAUUAUUGUUUAAUUUUAUUAGCAUAUUAAAGUCAA